rnacentral:rRNA from 1 species
GACGAACGCUGGCGGCGUGCUUAACACAUGCAAGUCGAACGGAAAGGCCCUGCUUUUGCGGGGUGCUCGAGUGGCGAACGGGUGAGUAACACGUGAGUAACCUGCCCUUGACUUUGGGAUAACUUCAGGAAACUGGGGCUAAUACCGGAUAGGAGCUCCUGCUGCAUGGUGGGGGUUGGAAAGUUUCGGCGGUUGGGGAUGGACUCGCGGCUUAUCAGCUUGUUGGUGGGGUAGUGGCUUACCAAGGCUUUGACGGGUAGCCGGCCUGAGAGGGUGACCGGCCACAUUGGGACUGAGAUACGGCCCAGACUCCUACGGGAGGCAGCAGUGGGGAAUAUUGCACAAUGGGCGGAAGCCCGAUGCAGCAACGCCGCGUGCGGGAUGACGGCCUUCGGGUUGUAAACCGCUUUCGCCUGUGACGAAGCGUGAGUGACGGUAAUGGGUAAAGAAGCACCGGCUAACUACGUG